GAGGGUGUAGCUCAGUGGUAGAGCCACUGCUUAGCAUGCAUGAGGUCCUGGGUUCAAUCUCUGGUACCUCCA
rnacentral:tRNA from 1 species